UACGUAGGGUGCAAGCGUUGUCCGGAAUUAUUGGGCGUAAAGAGCUCGUAGGCGGUUUGUCGCGUCUGCUGUGAAAACCCGAGGCUCAACCUCGGGCCUGCAGUGGGUACGGGGCAGACUAGAGUGCGGUAGGGGAGAUUGGAAUUCCUGGUGUAGCGGUGGAAUGCGCAGAUAUCAGGAGGAACACCAAUGGCGAAGGCAGAUCUCUGGGCCGUAACUGACGCUGAGGAGCGAAAGCAUGGGGAGCGAACAGG
rnacentral:rRNA from 1 species